rnacentral:rRNA from 1 species
UACGUAGGGGGCAAGCGUUGUCCGGAUUUAUUGGGCGUAAAGAGCUCGUAGGCGGCUCAGUAAGUCGGGUGUGAAACCUCCAGGCUCAACCUGGAGACGCCACCUGAUACUGCUGUGGCUAGAGUCCGGUAGGGGAGCGUGGAAUUCCUGGUGUAGCGGUGAAAUGCGCAGAUAUCGGGAGGAACACCAAUGGCGAAGGCAGCUCGCUGGGACGGUACUGACGCUGAGGCGCGAAAGCGUGGGGAGCAAACAGG